rnacentral:rRNA from 1 species
GAGCACUGUUUGGACGAGGGGCCCCUCUCGGGUUACCGAAUUCAGACAAACUCCGAAUGCCAAUUAAUUUAACUUGGGAGUCAGAACAUGGGUGAUAAGGUCCGUGUUCGAAAGGGAAACAGCCCAGACCACCAGCUAAGGUCCCAAAAUAUAUGUUAAGUGGAAAAGGAUGUGGCGUUGCCCAGACAACUAGGAUGUUGGCUUAGAAGCAGCCAUCAUUUAAAGAGUGCGUAAUAGCUCACUAGUCGAGUGACACUGCGCCGAAAAUGUACCGGGGCUAAACAUAUUACCGAAGCUGUGGAUUGUCCUUUGGACAAUGGUAGGAGAGCGUUCUAAGGGCGUUGAAGCAUGAUCGUAAGGACAUGUGGAGCGCUUAGAAGUGAGAAUGCCGGUGUGAGUAGCGAAAGACGGGUGAGAAUCCCGUCCACCGAUUGACUAAGGUUUCCAGAGGAAGGCUCGUCCGCUCUGGGUUAGUCGGGUCCUAAGCUGAGGCCGACAGGCGUAGGCGAUGGAUAACAGGUUGAUAUUCCUGUACCACCUAUAAUCGUUUUAAUCGAUGGGGGGACGCAGUAGGAUAGGCGAAGCGUGCGAUUGGAUUGCACGUCUAAGCAGUAAGGCUGAGUAUUAGGCAAAUCCGGUACUCGUUAAGGCUGAGC